UACGGGGGGGGCAAGCGUUGUUCGGAAUUACUGGGCGUAAAGGGCUCGUAGGCGGCCAACUAAGUCCGACGUGAAAUCCCCAGGCUCAACCUGGGAACUGCAUUUGUGACUGCACGGCUGGAGUGCGGCAGAGGGGGAUGGAAUUCCGCGUGUAGCAGUGAAAUGCGUAGAUAUGCGGAGGAACACCGAUGGCGAAGGCAAUCCCCUGGGCCUGCACUGACGCUCAUGCACGAAAGCGUGGGGAGCAAACAGG
rnacentral:rRNA from 1 species